UACGUAGGGGGCAAGCGUUGUCCGGAUUUAUUGGGCGUAAAGAGCGUGUAGGCGGUUAGGUAGGUCCGUUGUGAAAACUCGAGGCUCAACCUCGAGACGCCGAUGGAAACCAUCUGACUAGAGUCCGGAAGAGGAGAGUGGAAUUCCUGGUGUAGCGGUGAAAUGCGCAGAUAUCAGGAAGAACACCCGUGGCUAAGGCGGCUCUCUAGUACGGUACUGACGCUGAGGCGCGAAAGCGUGGGGAGCGAACAGG
rnacentral:rRNA from 1 species